rnacentral:rRNA from 1 species
CCUACGGGAGGCAGCAGUAGGGAAUCUUCCGCAAUGGACGAAAGUCUGACGGAGCAACGCCGCGUGAACGAUGAAGGCCUUCGGGUCGUAAAGUUCUGUUGUUAGGGAAGAACAAGUGCUAGUUAAAUAAGCUGGCACCUUGACGGUACCUAACCAGAAAGCCACGGCUAACUACGUGCCAGCAGCCGCGGUAAUACGUAGGUGGCAAGCGUUGUCCGGAAUUAUUGGGCGUAAAGCGCGCGCAGGCGGUUUCUUAAGUCUGAUGUGAAAGCCCCCGGCUCAACCGGGGAGGGUCAUUGGAAACUGGGAAACUUGAGUGCAGAAGAGGAAAGUGGAAUUCCAAGUGUAGCGGUGAAAUGCGUAGAGAUUUGGAGGAACACCAGUGGCGAAGGCGACUUUCUGGUCUGUAACUGACGCUGAGGCGCGAAAGCGUGGGGAGCAAACAGGAUUAGAUACCCUGGUAGUCCACGCUGUGAACGAUGAGUGCUAAGUGUUAGAGGGUUUCCGCCUUUAGUGCUGAAGUUAACGCAUUAAGCACUCCGCCUGGGGAUACGGUCGCAAGACUGAACUCAAAUGAAUUGACGG